rnacentral:rRNA from 1 species
UACGUAGGGUGCGAGCGUUAUUCGGAAUUACUGGGCUUAAAGGGUGCGUAGGCGGCGCAGAAAGUAGGGUGUGAAAUCCCUCGGCUCAACCGAGGAACUGCGCCCUAAACUACUGUGCUCGAGGGAGGUAGAGGUGAGCGGAACUUAGGGUGGAGCGGUGAAAUGCGUUGAUAUCCUAAGGAACACCGGUGGCGAAAGCGGCUCACUGGACCUCUUCUGACGCUGAGGCACGAAAGCUAGGGUAGCGAACGGG